UUUCCAAGUGAUUUUUCUCCUGUUUUUUGAUUCCAACAAAAGCCACUUAGGAUUAUUUUUGUUGUUUUUAUUUUUUUAAUGGCAGGCAUUGUGUUUAACUUAAAAACUUAAAAAAUGAACGGACGAAGAAUAGCUUUGUUUGCAUUCUGGUGACUGCUGAGGCUUUGGCUGACGACAGCUUUCAGCUGCACCUGAACUAGGCUGGAUUUGUCUCCUGCUCUCCAUAGGCAGAGAAGUGCGUCCAGGCAGUUUGGAGAACUGCUGGCUCAGGCUUCACCUCCACUAAUCCAAGUUCAGUCACUUUCCUCUGAAGAACCUGCAUCAAGCCGUGGUUUUAAGCUGCAGAUGGAGUUCUUCUCGCAGGACUGAAGUGCUGAAGCUCUCUGAGCUCCGAAGGCACCCUGAACUCAUGAGGCUUUUUCUUGGUUGGCAACGUGCUUAAAAAAGAAAGAAAUGCAAAUGGGCAUUUCCACGUGACUGUAUUCUGCUCAGUGCAGUGUCUGCCUGUGUUGCAGACUGAGCUCCGUGGCAUUGCAAAGAAUGCACCAAAUCAAGAUGUGGCCGUUGUAUGAAGUAAGUUUGUGGUUGCUGUGAAGCUGGGAGGAAUGUUGACUGCCUUGGGGGUUGAGAGGCCUUGCAGCAAGAUGUGGAGAAAUGUGAGGGUGGUCCCCAUCUGCACGAAGAAGAGCAAGCGCUGCGUUCUGCACCUGGGAUGCGGCAGCCCUGGCUAUAAGCCCUCAGCAAACAGUCGUCCUGUUCCACUUUUGGCCAGUCUCAGAUGCUUGUCUUCCAGAAUGUCUGCGUGUGGAUGAAUCACAACAGGAUCCUGGGAACUUUUAAGAAAGGAAAGAUUGCUUCACGUGUAAUGAAAAGCUAGUGUCCAGAAGAUCACUGCGGCCAGAUGCCAAUUUUGAUGCCCUCGUCAGUAAGACUUGUCCAAGCCCUGAUGUAUGUGAAACUCAUCAGGAGGGAAUGCUGGCAAGAAUCAGCUAACACAAUAGCAGCAAGCUUUCAGUGACAGCGUUAAGGAAGGGUGACGAUUCAGGCUGGGAGCAGGUGUAUGGGAACUGUAUAAUCACAGCCUGACCCCCUGUUUGACUACCUGAGGCGAGUGCUGAGUCAGCUGCAGGGGCACAGGUGAUGGCAGUUUGACCUGAGUGACCGUAAGGGGUGGACCCUGGCUGCAGCCCUGCUAGACCCCAUGUAAGGGCUGACUCCCAAGGAGGAAGGAUCUCUAUCUGGAGGUCACCCUUAGUGGAGCCCUUCUGCGCGCCCAGGGUACGGGUAAGCUUUUUAUGUCAUUCCUCCUUUGGAAACGCGCUCAUCUCUCUGGUCCUUUACCUAUUUGCCUUACAAUCUGUUUGCCCUGCACACAGGUAAUGUUUAACCCUCCUAAUGGGUAGCCCUUAUCUUUUUCUGUAAAUGCAACAGGGAUAGGGUUAGCCCUCAUCAAGUAAGGGCCACCCUUAGUCCUAACAGCAAAGGGUAGCCCUGAAGGAUUCCCAUUUUGGUUAUGGUUAACUCUAAUCGGAUGUGGUAACCGUUGACCUGUCACUGAAGGGAAGCCCUUCAUCCUAACCUACUAUGGUAACUCUUCAUCCUAAACGCUAGCCUCUAACAGUAACCUUUAAGCCAAUCCUUAGGGGUUUUCCUUCAGCCUUUGCACUGACUGAACUUGGUAGCAUUUCCACGUGAAGCCUUAUCUAAUGCAGUAACCCGCCAAUCUGAUGCCAAAGGGUAACGGUCCGCAGUUAGUAGUAAGACUAAAUAGUAGCACUUAACCGUAAUCCAGCAGGGGAUGAGGGCGAGCUUGUCUUCUGCCAGGGCGAGCGGCUGCGGGCAGUGCAUCUCCCAGCUGAGGUGCCUGUAAACAUCUGCCAGCUGUCCUUGUGGACGGCCCGUCAUCGUCAUGGAAACUGAUUGUAACAGCACAAAGGUUCCAGGAGCGUGGGUGAUGUCAGCUGUGACAUCCUCUGGGGGGCCUGGAGCCGCCCUUUUUUGGCCUUGCAGCCCAUCAAGCCAAAGCCUGCUGUCCUGCACGUGGUCCCACCGGGCAGAAACUCUUGGGACGUAGGAAGGUUCAGGGGAGGGGACAGAUGCCUGAGGGCAUUCUUUGAUUCCAUCCCAAGAGUUGUUUUGUCUUUGUUCUUUCCAUGUCGUGUGGUUUUCCUUUGCUUUUCCUUUUGCUAUUUAACAUCUUUUCUUUCUUUUAUGCUUCUUUCUCUGUUGCUAUGCCUUGCAUUGCAUUGCAUUGCUUUGGUUAUUUGUUUUUUUUUCCCUUUGUUUCGGGCCAAGCCGCAGGGGCUGCUAGGGCAAUGUCCUCACUUGGAGGGGGAGGCUGGGUUUCCCAUCUGAGGGCUUCAUGCACAAAUAGCAAGGAAAACUCAGACACAGAGCAAUCCUAAGCAAAGGCACGCCUUUUCUGAGACACUGUCUCAAGCUCCCUGAGCUCUUUUUUCCUACGAGGUAACUCCCCUGCUUUUUUCCAUCUCUUAUUACAACAAGAGAGAUUUCCAUCGCUCUUACAACAGCUCGCCAAAUAAUGUUCUUACCCACAGAAGCUUUCCCUUUUCCCUUUUCUCAGUAAGAGUCGCUUGAAUCCCGGGCUGAUUCCCUAAAACCAAGUGUAAUUGUUCUCCUUCCCAGAAACCAGUCACCAACAGAAGUUGUCCUGUUAGCCCACAUCCACCAAAAAUCCCUCAAAUACACUAUUCUUACAGCCAAACCA